rnacentral:rRNA from 1 species
GACGAACGCUGGCGGCGUGCUUAACACAUGCAAGUCGAACGGAAAGGCCUGCUUUCCCUUGUGGAUUGCGGGUACUCGAGUGGCGAACGGGUGAGUAACACGUGAGUGAUCUGCCCCCAACUUGGGUAUAAGCCUGGGAAACUGGGUCUAAUUCCCGAUAGGACUGCAGGGUGGUGCCUGUGGUGGAAAACGAUUUUCUAGUGGUUGGGGAUGAGCUCGCGGCCUAUCAGCUUGUUGGUGGGGUAAUGGCCUACCAAGGCGGCGACGGGUAGCCGGCCUGAGAGGGUGGACGGCCACAUUGGGACUGAGAUACGGCCCCGACUCCUACGGGAGGCAGCAGUGGUGAAUAUUACACAAUGGGCGGAAGCCUGAUGCAGCGACGCCGCGUGGGGGAUGACGGCCUUCGGGUUUUAAACUCCUUUCGACCGCGAGGAAGCCACCUGGUUGGAAGGGUGGUGACGGUAGUGGUAGAAGAAGCACCGGCUAACUACGUG